rnacentral:tRNA from 1 species
AUAGGGAGACCCAACGAGAGUCGAACAGCAAAAACUAAACAAAUAGCUGUCGACAUCUUAUGUAUCCCGAGGUCGUAACAAGGGAAAAAAGAAAGAGAAGUGGAAUGGCUUUCAAACUCUGUCAAUGGACAAGGGAAAAAAACGGGCUAUUAGCUCAGGUGGUUAGAGCGCACCCCUGAUAAGGGUGAGGUCCCUGGUUCGAGUCCAGGAUAGCCCAGACGGCAGAAAAAGAUGAAAAAACUUCCCAAAAAAGAUUGACAAGAGCAAUCGAUUGAUGGUAUAUUUGAAAUCCUGCGCAAAAAAGAGCAACCCGAGUUCAGCACCUUAUCUGAAUUAAAUCAGAGAGAAUGCUGGAUUCCGUAAGAGUCCAGACAGCACCUUGAAAACUGCAUAAAGAAAGAAAAGAGAAAGCCAAUUCUUAGUGAAAUAAGAAUCAAAAAAGAUAUACA